UGAUGCGUCACUGAUUUAUGUGAAUGCAGUGCAGCAAUGCAUAUCACUGACGACUGAUGAAGGCAAGAUGUGGCUCCACCGCAAUAAGCAGAAAAACGCAAGCAGCUCGUGGUGGACAAGUUAAUGAAAAACACUCCAACACCAUUGACAAUAAUGGUAUAGUGGAUUCAACAAAAGACGUCUGGCGAGGUGGCUUGACUAGCUUCCUAGCAGCAGAUGCCUCGUUCCCUGAGCGUGUCCCUGUGGGUGGCUAUAGCAGAAAAGCCUACAUAUUCCCCUGUCCUAAUAUUCCCUUCUUGCUUGUCCAAGCACUUGGGCUCAAACACCUU